rnacentral:SRP_RNA from 1 species
GCCGGGUGCGGUGGCGCGCGCCUGUAAUCCAAGUUACCGGGAGGCUGAGGCUGGAGGAUCGUUUGAGCUCAGGAGCUCUGAGCUGCAGCGGACUAUGCCGAUCGGGUGUCCGCGCUAAGUUCGAUAUCGAUAUGGUGCUCCUGGGGGAGCCCGGGACCACCAGGUCGUCUAAGGAGGGGUGCACCGGCCCAGGUCGGAGACGGAGCAGGUCAAAGCCCCCGUGCCGCUCAGUAGUGGGAUCGCGCCUGUGAAUAGACGCUGUAGUGCAGCCUGAGUAAUACAGCGGGACCCAGUCUUU